rnacentral:rRNA from 1 species
UACGUAGGCAGCAAGCGUUGUUCGGAAUUACUGGGCGUAAAGAGCGCGCAGGCGGUCGUUCAAGUCGCGUGUGAAAGCCCCCGGCUCAACUGGGGAGGGUCACGCGAUACUGAUCGACUCGAAGGCAGGAGAGGGUAGUGGAAUUCCCGGUGUAGUGGUGAAAUGCGUAGAUAUCGGGAGGAACACCAGUGGCGAAGGCGACUACCUGGCCUGUUCUUGACGCUGAGGCGCGAAAGCUAGGGGAGCAAACGGG